AAGGAGAUUCAUUUUUAUUUCCAAACACCAGGACAUCACUUGUGGACACAUGCAUAUACGUAGAUAGAUGGAGAAAACAGGUAUUACUGAAACACUGAUUCAUAAAAUUCUAUCAGGAGAAAGAAUUCAGAUACAGUAAAUGCAUUCCUACUCUGAAGGCAAAAGAGUUCUUAAAAACCUGUAUGGUAGUCUCCUCUUUUGGAGAGUCGUCUCUGAUUGCUCUUUUCCUCUAUGAUGAGAAUGUGGCAAGAUGGGGAAAAGGGGGAUUUUACAAAUUACUGUGGCUCUGUCAAGCCCCAGUGACAGUCAGUGUCAGUGACAUCAUGUGCUAUCAGUGAUAUCAUACGUCUUUAUGAUUCAGGUUGUCUUUGAAACCACUGUUGGCAACAAUAGCCUCUUAGGUAAGCUUUGUAUUUCAUCCAGGACUGGAGGACAUCCCAAGAAAAAUUCCCGUGGCAAUUAAAUUAUGACAUGCCAUAGAUUUAAGAUGCAUCACAAUAUCAUAUGUUUAAAAAGUGCUAGUAUGUGUCUUAAACCAAUGAAUUUCCUUGUAACUUUUGUACGACGAUUACAGAAACUUCAAGGAGAAAAAGUUGAUUGAUGGCUGAGAGAAAACAGAACCAAAUAAAGUAAGAUAAUUGACCUAUGGCCUCUAACUCUACUCCCAAGAUUUUCAAGCAACCUACAGAAUUUUAUUCAAAUCACCAUAAUGUUCAAGAUGUUCAUUAAUGUCUCAACACAGCGUCAGAACUCCACUGUUCAAGGCCCCUUUGGAACCAGCCUCUUCCAAAUGAAAACUCCAGAAGAGUAGGAAUUUCUGUUAUAUGUAUGAAUGAAUGACCAUCUUAUCGUUUCAUCCAGCUGAAUAGGGAACUUCUCCAGAGAAACAACAGUAAAAAAAAAUCUUAACAUUCUUGAGUUCUUCAAAUAUCAAUACAAUUCAAAGUCAAGUAUGAGUAUCAAUGGUAUUCUUUAUAAAAUAUAAAUUGGUGAAGAUGACAAAUGAUGAUGGUAUUUUUUAUGUGUGUGUACAAUGUUGUGUGCACAAUGUGGUGUGCACAGUUGUUUGUGUUCCAUAACCUGUAAGGCACGUAAUUCAGUGGGUCUGCAUCAUAUCAAGAAACACAGAUUAAUCUCUGUUACUAAUAUUUCAUGUGACAGUGGGAAGCAAGGUAGGUUUGUAAAAUAGAUGCAUUAGACUGAAGUUCUUUCUAUGUGUCAAGACUAUAAGGGAUCUAUGAGGUCUCUUCCUUCUUGAUCUCACUUCCAAACAGGAAAAACUCAAACAACUGUAUUCAGUUUAACAUCAAUAUAUACAUACAGCUGGAUGCCAAGAAAAUGCACUACUUUUGGCUUCAAUUUAUUUCUUUAUAAUGUUUAGUUCAAUGAUAUUUAUAAGCUGAAAAUUGGGAGAUGUUUACUACCAGAAAACUCUUUAUACACGUAUCACCAAAAAGUGGUUCUCAACUCUGCAAGAAUCAGUGCAGACAUGCUUACAAACCCAAUUACUUGGGCAUAUCAUUCUAAACACAGCUUUUUGCAAGACUCUUUCUUAAUUUAGCCAAGAACAGAGACCCGAGUAUAUACAAUGCAUCAAGAUAUACUUGAAAUUAUCUUUCCUUUAAGCUGGAGAGUGGUGUUCUCUCAAGAUGCAUACAAUAAUAAUCUGUUUAGUCCAUAAUUCUAGAAAAUAACUAAAUCCCUGAAGUAUCCUGGCAGAAGAACUUUAAGCUUAGAUCCUUUCUGAAUAAGCCAUUUCACUUGAAGAGAUGUGAUCAGACUGAAGAACAAAGCUAUUUAUCUCUCUGUGUGAUGGAACCCGAAAAGCCCACUGGUAGCUGCUCUCCAGGAGGCCUGGAUGUGGACAAGCUAAGUCAAAUUCCAGGAGAGUUGUGGAAGUGGUAACACUAGAGGGGUAACAGAAAGGGAGAGGACUCCCAAGCUUCUAUAAAUAACUAAGCAAUAGUAGCAAGAGUUGUAAUCACUAUUUAAGACAACCGGUAGUCUUCCUUGAAGCAGGAGAUGAACACGAGCCAUCAGUCACUCAUGGUGACACACAGGGAAAUGGGGACUGCAAAGGCCAGCAUGGCUGCAUCCAGCUUACUGAGGAGUGUGACUUACACUAAACUUUCCACAAUGGCUGACAAAUGCUCACAGUAGACCCUUUGACUAAUUAACCUUCAAUUUACAUAUGGUAGUCAACAUUCAGUAGUUAAAAUUAGCGUUGGUAAACAGAUUGACUCUAAGAGCAUCAAGAGCUUUUAGAGGUGUCCCUGUGCCCAGAGAACAGGGCAGAAAAGAAAGGAAACUUGACUUUCAUGAUCCAAGUGUUCUCCCACUACAGUUACAUAAUUAGUAACACUGUAUAUGUUUUAAAGUUUUGAUUCUGGAAAAGUCAUCAAAAAGUCUUCAUUUCAAAAUUGUUUACACCCUAAAAAGGAUAAUAGAAAUCAGGGUAACUGUGUACCAUAUUAGGUAAGAAAUCUUCUAUUCCUGAAAAUCUCUUCGAAUUAUUUUUUCAUCUUCAAAUCCUAAAAAGAGAAUGCCUAAAUGCUGGACUUAUUAUCUAAAGGCUUUAGUCAUUACUUGCAAAACUGAAGACCACACCAAGUAAGCAUGGAUAAGAAAUAAACAAGUGGCAAGAGAUCAAGAACUCCAAAAUUAAUGACAAAAGAAUGAUCAGCAAAUGAUAAUAAUACAAU